GUUUAGCCCUGAUUGAAAUGACAUCUUUUUUUGUACUAAAGUAAAUUUAGCAUAAAAAAGAUAUAAAGAAAAGCAGGAAAUAGC
rnacentral:sRNA from 1 species